rnacentral:sRNA from 1 species
UCUCCCUGCCUUUUAGGCAUCCUCUCCCAAGACUUCCAAGCCCGGCCGGUUUAUCCAGCCGGGCUUUUUUCUGUCCGCA